CUUUACUAGAAAAAAUUCUGAGUAGGGAUGGGUCCAGUAUAAAAAUCAAAAAUACCUAGAACAGGACUGUCUCUGGGUAUUCACUACUUAUACCUGUCUAAUAUCCAUAUGAUGAGUGCGGUGAUUGUGUGAAUGCAAAAAGCCACCUCUAUCUGAAGCAGGGGCAGUAUACAUCAAAAACACAGACUCCUCCAAUUACAUACAGGAAAAGAUUAAGUAUAGAACACAGAGAG